rnacentral:rRNA from 1 species
CCUACGGGGGGCAGCAGUGGGGAAUAUUGGGCAAUGGGCGCAAGCCUGACCCAGCAACGCCGCGUGAAGGAAGAAGGCCUUUGGGUUGUAAACUUCUUUUCUCAGGGACGAACCAAGUUAAGAUACCUCCAGACUAAGCCACGGCUAACUACGUGCUCGCAGCCGCGGUAAUACGUAGGGGGCAUGCUUUAUCCGGAUUUACUGGGUGUAAAGGGCGUGUAGGCGGGACUGCAAGUCAGCUGUGAAAACCAUGGGCGCAACCUGUGGCCUGCAGGUGAUACUGGAGUGCUUGAGUGCUGGAGUGGCAGACGGAAGUCGUGGUGUAGCGGUGAAAUGCGUAGAUAUUAGGAGGAAAACCAGUGGCGAAGGCGGGCUGCUGGACAGCAACUGACGCUGAGGCGCGAAAGCGUGGGGAGCAAACAGGAUUAGAUACCCCAGUAGUC